rnacentral:rRNA from 1 species
UACGAAGGGGGCUAGCGUUGCUCGGAAUCACUGGGCGUAAAGCGCACGUAGGCGGAUUGUUAAGUCAGGGGUGAAAUCCUGGAGCUCAACUCCAGAACUGCCUUUGAUACUGGCGAUCUUGAGUCCGGGAGAGGUGAGUGGAACUGCGAGUGUAGAGGUGAAAUUCGUAGAUAUUCGCAAGAACACCAGUGGCGAAGGCGGCCUGGCUGGGCAGUUGGCUGACACUGAGGCGCGACAGCGUGGGGAGCAAACGG